UUCCUACGGGAGGCAGCAGUGGGGAAUAUUGCACAAUGGGGGAAACCCUGAUGCAGCGACGCCGCGUGAGUGAAGAAGUAAUUCGUUAUGUAAAGCUCUAUCGGCAGGGAAGAAAUUGGACGGUACCUGACUAAGAAGCCCCGGCUAACUACGUGCCAGCAGCCGCGGUAAUACGUAGGGGGCAAGCGUUAUCCGGAUUCACUGGGUGUAAAGGGAGCGUAGACGGCCAGGCAAGCCUGGAGUGAAAGCCCGGGGCCCAACCCCGGGACCGCUCUGGGAACUGGGC
rnacentral:rRNA from 1 species